rnacentral:rRNA from 1 species
GACGAACGCUGGCGGCGUGCCUAAUACAUGCAAGUCGAACGCAGUGGGGACGGGUGAGUAACACGUGGGUAACCUCCCAUCAGAGGGGAUAACACUUGGAAACAGGUGCUAAACCGAUACUGAUGGAUGGACCCGCGGUGCAUUAGCUAGUUGGUGAGGUAACGGCUCACCAAGGCCACGAUUCAUAGCCGCACUGAAAGGAGGAACGGCCAGACGGGGACUAAGACACGGCCCAGGCACAUACAGGAGGCAGCAGUAGGGAAUCUGCGGCAAUGGACGAAAGUCUGACCGAGCAACGCCACGUGAGUGAAGAAGGUUUUCGGAUCGUAAAACUCUGUUGUUAGAGAAGCGGUAUCUAACCAAAAAGCCACGGCUAACUACGUGCCAGCAGCCGCGGUAAUUC